UACGAAGGGGGCUAGCGUUGCUCGGAAUCACUGGGCGUAAAGGGUGCGUAGGCGGGUCUUUUAAGUCAGGGGUGAAAUCCUGGAGCUCAACUCCAGAACUGCCUUUGAUACUGAGGAUCUUGAGUUCGGGAGAGGUGAGUGGAACUGCGAGUGUAGAGGUGAAAUUCGUAGAUAUUCGCAAGAACACCAGUGGCGAAGGCGGCUCACUGG
rnacentral:rRNA from 1 species